rnacentral:rRNA from 1 species
AUUGAACGCUGGCGGCAUGCUUUACACAUGCAAGUCGAACGGUAACAGGCCGCAAGGUGCUGACGAGUGGCGAACGGGUGAGUAGUGCAUCGGAACGUGCCCAGUCGUGGGGGAUAACUACUCGAAAGAGUAGCUAAUACCGCAUACGAUCUAUGGAUGAAAGCGGGGGACCGUAAGGCCUCGCGCGAUUGGAGCGGCCGAUGUCAGAUUAGGUAGUUGGUGGGGUAAAGGCUCACCAAGCCAACGAUCUGUAGCUGGCCUGAGAGGACAACCAGCCACACUGGGACUGAGACACGGCCCAGACUCCUACGGGAGGCAGCAGUGGGGAAUUUUGGACAAUGGGCGCAAGCCUGAUCCAGCAAUGCCGCGUGCAGGAAGAAGGCCUUCGGGUUGUAAACUGCUUUUGUACGGAACGAAACGGCUCUGGUUAAUACCCGGGGCUAAUGACGGUACCGUAAGAAUAAGCACCGGCUAACUACGUG